CCUGAGUAUUUUUUCUGUAUUUUUGCUUACCCUCAAGAUGUCUGUACACCUUACGACUGCCAUCCACCAAUGACAAACUCAUUUAUCACUGCACAACUCCUAAGUGACAGAGGGGGACAAAUUAAAAUGAGUAUAUCAGUCAAUGUCCUCCCUGAAAAAAAAAGAACUUGAUAUCCGACACAUUUAUGUACAUUUUUAAAUUGCAUGGCAGUACUACUUUAAAAUUCACAUUUUCAGUAUGACUUUACUAACGUAACAUCAUAUACCUCUGUUUUCAACAGAUUUUCAGACAAGCACGGUUACAACAACUGUAGACUGAGAAUGGCAUCCUCUCCGUAUAGCUGCCCCAGUCCCAUCAGGGUCAAGUGUGUGCUUAACCACAAAAACCCUCAAUUUUAUGCUUGUAGAUGGGGAAAUUAGGCCGGGCACUCAAGUGAUCACUUACCUUAGUACACUGUCCACAGGUGGUCAGGUGUAUGUCACGCAGUCCUCUUCAGACAGGGCUGCCUUUGAAGAGGGCGUGACAUACUAUAUAAAAAACUACACCGUGUCCUCAAGAUAUGGGCAGGAACGUCUGUUCAUGGGUCCGAACACAACGACCUACAAAAGCGCUCCCCUCACACUGAGCUUUGAUGCAGAGAAGAUGGCCAAAGACGCCCUGGUUCCACCAUCUGUCUCAGUGACUGGGGAUGAGCAGGACCUCUUCUCAAGAGGGGGCCACUUAACUCAGGAAGGAACUGUGGAACAUAUGCAGGUUCCAAGGAUGACGACUGUGAGGGACACAGAAGUCCCCAUCUUGGACGUGGGGAUCAAAAGCGGCUCCAGGAUCCUUGAGGUGUCCUUAUGGCGGGACCAGGCCUUGUCCAAGCUCAGAAUUAAUGAUAAGGUGAACAUAUGUCACCUUCGAGCAAGCGCCAAGGCCACCAAGUUAAAUUCACAACUGUGGAGGUUUUGGAGCAGGCACCAGUGGUGGAGGACAUCGUGGUGAUUGGCUUGUCCGAAGCCAAUGGUGAGGUCUCCUUACUCGCUGAGGACUUCAGUGAAUACACGGCACCUCCUGAGCUGCUUGAAGGGAGUGUAGAAGAGCUCCUGUGCCAGCUUCCACUUCAUUUAGAAGUAAUGCAUGAGCACAGAAAAAUUUAAAAAAUUAAUUAUGUUGAUUAAAUGUAAGUUUUUAGUUGUGUGAAA
ensembl:lncRNA